rnacentral:rRNA from 1 species
GACAGAGGCCACAAGCGUUAGGCGGAAUCACUGGGCUUAAAGCGUGUGUAGGUGGACGGCUAAGUGCCUUGUGAAAUCCCCCGGCUCAACCGGGGAACCGCUGGGCAUACUGGUCGUCUUGAGCCAUCUAGGGGCAACUGGAACGAACGGUGGAGCGGUGAAAUGCGUAGAUAUCGUUCGGAACGCCAACGGUGAAAACAGGUUGCUGGGGAUGUGCUGACACUGAGACACGGAAAGCCAGGGGAGCAAACGGG